UGCCCAAGAGAUCGGGAUAACACCUGGAAACAGAUGCUAAUACCGGAUAACAACAGAUGAUGCCUAUCAACUGUUUAAAAGAUGGUUCUGCUAUCACUCUUGGAUGGACCUGCGGUGCAUUAGCUAGUUGGUAGGGUAACGGCCUACCAAGGCGAUGAUGCAUAGCCGAGUUGAGAGACUGAUCGGCCACAUUGGGACUGAGACACGGCCCAAACUCCUACGGGAGGCAGCAGNG
rnacentral:rRNA from 1 species